rnacentral:rRNA from 1 species
GAUGAACGCUGGCGGCGUGCCUAAUACAUGCAAGUCGAACGCAUUGUGGUUGAAAUGAUAUGAAGAACUUGUUCAGAUUUGAUUUUCAACAUUGCAAUGAGUGGCGAACGGGUGAGUAACACGUGGGAAACCUACCUCUUAGCAGGGGAUAACAUUUGGAACAAAUGCUAAUACCGUAUAAUAAUUAAAACCGCAUGGUUUUAGUUUAAAAGAUGGUCUUGCUAUCACUAAGAGAUGGUCCCGCGGUGUAUUAGUUAGUUGGUGAGGUAAUGGCUCACCAAGACAAUGAUACAUAGCCGAGUUGAGAGACUGACCGGCCACAAUGGGACUGAGACACGGCCCAUACUCCUACGGGAGGCAGCAGUAGGGAAGUCUUCCACAAUGGACGAAAGUCUGAUGGAGCAACGCCGCGUGUGUGAUGAAGGUUUCGGCUCGUAAACACUGUUGUAAGAGAAGAAUGACAUUGAGAGUAACUGUUCAAUGU